GCUCGGGUGGGAGGAGUUCAGGGCCAGCCCGGGCAACAGAGAGAAAUCUGGCUUUAAAAUUUUAAAAAAUGUCCUGAGGAUGUGGCUCAGGGGUAGGGCACCUGCCUGGCAUGCACAAGGCCCCGAGUGCAAGCCUCAGCACUGCCAAAAAAGUGUCACCUACACUGGAACCGAGAGGCCAGGGGCAGCGUCAGCAGGGACAAGGACCUAGAUCAUGUGACCAUGAGCAUCACGCCCUGAGUCCCAAGAUCUGGGGAUGAUGACAGGCUGUAAGGGUCACUCGUCCUCCCCUCCGCCCUUCCCUCCUCUCAACCACAGGGCCAGAUGCCCUCCAAGCCCCGCCCCAAGGAGUCUGGGGAAUCUCCACCAUCCGGUCCCAACCCCUCAGCCUUGACAAGGCCCUGACCCCAAAAGCCAGCCCACUGCUCAUGCUACAGGAAGUGUGUGCCCUCGGGGGACCCCAGCCCCAAGGCUGUUGGCCUGACCCUGGAGGACCUGCUGGAGGCCCUGGAGGACCCCCCGGGGGCCAAGGCCCACAUCAGCCCUUCCAUGGGGCCUUCACUGUGGCACCGCAGAGUCCCUCCCCACCGAGCGGUUGAGCGUGACCCCUGGGGAGAGAGGCUGCUCCCUGAGCUCCGGAGCCAUUCCCGCCCCUGUCCAGCCCGGGUGCCAAAGACAGAGCCACCACUGGGCCACCAGCAAGGACUCAGACCACAUUCCCAGGUGGGGGACAGAGGUUGACGGGACUAGGCUGACGAUGUCCAUCCCUCCUGGCCUGUGACCUGUCACGGCCACACCAUCUCCAAUUUGGCACCAACUUGACAACUCCACAUUGAACCUCACUCUGAGCAAGACAGAAACAGCGGCUCCAGUGGCACUCCUGCCCCAGGAAGGACACCAG
rnacentral:lncRNA from 1 species